rnacentral:lncRNA from 1 species
CGUGCCAGGCACGACCCGCUUAGAAUUUGGGCCCGGGGGGCCUGGGCCGGGCCGGCCCGGCACGGCCCGUUGCCCAACUCUACAAACUGCAUUUCCAAUAUUUUGUAGAAAGAGAAAAUAAUGCCAGGAACAUCAUCCCUUCAUUUCAUCAAAUAUACCCAAAAAUUUUGAGAAAAAACAACAACAAAUAAUUGACAUAAUGAUAACCAAAACAAGAGAAAAUAGGAGCAUGUCCCCAAACUACAGAAUGAACAAGCUGAAAAAUAGAAAAGGCUUGUUACUUGGAGGAUAACUUGUCUUACAACGUUUAGAAGAUCAACAUGUUUCACAAGAUAACAAAACUCCUUUAUUCAACUGAACUGACCAGGAAAAAUUAAACAAAGAGACAAAGGAAAUCUGUCCAAGUCUAUGAUGCCAAAGUUGAACAUGGCUUGUGACAUUAUUGAUAUCAUCCAAACAUGUUGUAGGGGUUCCAUCAAUAACAAGAAGUAAAGACGAUUAGCUUCAUGGACACCACCAAUCAUCUUCUUCAUUUCCAGGUCCUGGAAAACACAAUGGGAUGAUGAUGGGUGGUUCUAUAUACACCCCCCCUAUUGCUCAGGACACCCCCCAAAAAUUAAAAAAAA